AGAGAGAGAGAGAGAGAGAGAGAGGAAAGGGGAGAGGGAGGGCUUCUACGUCGCCGCUCUCUGGAUGCACGCCAUCCACCCGCGCACGCUCGCCGCCAACCUCGCCGGCUUCGCCAGGUUCGGCUGCCUCAAGAACCUCCCCGAGAUCCUCUAUCGUUUCCUCCACGGCCCCCGCGAUGAGCGCAAGGACUAGGACGACGUCGCUGCGGCGGCUCCGGGUGCAAGAGAGGCAAGCGACGCUGCGUCGGCGGCCUUGCCGCCGCCGCGGCUGAGGCCGCCAAGGCCCGGCGCGAGAAGGAGGCGGAGCACGCGCAGGCCGUGCUCGCGCACAACGACUCUGACGAGGCCUUCUGCAACCUCUACGACGGCGUCGCCGACAUCUUCGCCGGGCUACUCAAGUCGGACCAGGAGCACCUGCACGCGGGCGACACGGAUCGUGUUCACCGCCAAGUGGUGCCCGUCGCUGCGCCUGUCGUACGACUGCGCGACGCUGCUCUGCGAGGCCAUCGCGCGCCGAGUCUUCCCGCGCGACUCGAGCCCCGAGUACCUCGCUAUCCCCGACAAUCAGUACGCCUACCGCGUCCGCAACCGGCUCCACCGCGAGGUGCAGGUGCCGCUCCGCAAGGUGCUCGAGCUCCCCGAGGUCUACAUGAGCGCCGGAAGUGGGACGAGCUGCCCUGCGCGCGCUUGGCGUCCACGGCCAUCCGCCGGUACAAGUGGCGUCCUGGCUGUUCUUCUUUCUUCUGGGCUUCUCUCUGAUAAACAAAGGAGAUGAUAUUGCAAUGUGCUAACCAGAUUAUUGCUGCACAUUUGUCUGUUUGAUGUCUUGGUUGUGGGAUCUGAAACACUAUGUAUUCAGAUCAACAUUACACAGGGAAGGAGCGAGAUGAUGCCAAGCAGUGGAAGAGAAUGGUAACCAAAGACAACUUUGUUGGUCCUUGAUCAUGGAUUUACAAGAAAGCCAACAGAGUAUGAAAAGGUUCUCAUGGGACUCACCCUGAACUGAAAUCUAUGUUCAACCUUGGUAUAAUUCUAUGACAAAAACCCCAGGUGGUCCAAUUUUUUUUUCUUUCUUUCAUGUUUAUUGUUUUUGGUUUGUUAUAACCGAAUUUAUAGCCUACUAUUCGUGGGUUUCUUUUAUUCUGUUUUGGUGGGUUCUAAGCUAUGAAAUUAGGAACCAUAUAGUUUAUUAGUUUGAGACCUGCUUCAAGAUAAAGAAUGAAAUGAAGAAUUAUUAUUUCAUGAUGACACACAUGACUGUCAAACUGCAGAAAAUACUUGAUUUAUGUACUGUAUGAUUUCUGAGUUCCUUUCCUUUCUAGAUUUAUGUGGGGAGAACUCAUGAGCUUAUGAAUGAGUGAUUCGGAUUUGUCUAAUUGGGAACUAGCAAAUCAUGCAAAGUAAGGGUUUUUCUGCUCAUAUAGACUGGUUGGUCGAUGGCUUCUUGAUACAUCGUACCUUAAACAACAUAAUUUCUGAUUGAGGGGACCAGGUUGAUGCCCUGUUUGAUGUGAAUUUUCUGGGAUGUGCUGCCAUAUACUUCCACCACUGUAUACAACAAUGAGUACAACAUUUAACAUGGGCAUGAUGUUAAAUUUGAGUGAAUCUAAGGGCCUACUGGCUGCAUAAUCUGUGGCUAUAUUUUUUAGACUUAUUUAUUUACUUUUGUGUAUGCAAGGAGCAAUUCUACUAUCUCUUCAUGGUUUAGCGUUUAUAUAUUAGUUGGACAGUAUCUCUUUAUUCUGUUGUUGUGACUGACUAGCUGCUUACUUAUAUGGACAACUUGAACUGAAAGCAAGAGUAGAAGCCCAUGAGAUGAGACACAAGGAAAAUAUGCAUGAAAAUGGCACAUUCAUGAUUCAGUUUGGUUAGCAAGUGCCUAAAUACUCUGGAAAUGUGUUUGAAUCGCACAAAAAAAGUUUGUAGUUCUUAUUCAUACUUGAAACAUGUGAGGCUCUGCAAAUUAAACCAUGUUUUUUUUCAAGGCGCAUAUGGAUUUAGUAGACCACAACUAAACCGAUUGUAUAUACAUGGCAUGUCCUUAGUAAAGGAAACUAUUUUCGUCGCGAGCAUGGCUUUGGUUGAAGGUUCUUACAACAUGAAACUAUUUUCAUCGAGAACAUGUCUUCAGCAGGUCUCUGCGCCAUUUCGCGCAACGGGUCAACUAGUAUUGUAAAUA